rnacentral:tRNA from 1 species
UAGUAUUGUAAGCUAACUAAAGCUAGUGGGUUCAUACCCCAAAAAUGAUCUAGUCCUAUACUAU